rnacentral:rRNA from 1 species
CCUACGGGGUGCAGCAGUCGAGAAUCAUUCACAAUGGGGGAAACCCUGAUGGUGCGACGCCGCGUGGGGGAAUGAAGGUCUUCGGAUUGUAAACCCCUGUCAUGUGGGAGCAAAUUAAAAAGAUAGUACCACAAGAGGAAGAGACGGCUAACUCUGUGCCAGCAGCCGCGGUACUACAGAGGUCUCAAGCGUUGUUCGGAAUCACUGGGCGUAAAGCGUGCGUAGGCUGUUUCGUAAGUCGUGUGUGAAAGGCGCGGGCUCAACCCGCGGACGGCACAUGAUACUGCGAGACUAGAGUAAUGGAGGGGGAACCGGAAGUCUCGGUGUAGCAGUGAAAUGCGUAGAUAUCGAGAGGAACACUCGUGGCGAAGGCGGGUUCCUGGACAUUAACUGACGCUGAGGCACGAAGGCCAGGGGAGCGAAAGGGAUUAGAUACCCGAGUAGUC